UAAAAUCGAUACUGUAAUGUCUUGCUUCGAUACUGUUUAUCGAAUUAGGAUCUAUUGGAGUCUGUCCUAUAAUUGCUGCAACCUUGUUAUGUAUCAUAUCUGCAUUUCCUUUCUGAAGGCAGACUGCCAAUUGACGACGCCAAUAGUUUGCAAAGUUACUGUAAGACAUGUCCAGUGCUGCUGGCGCGAGACUGGCAGCCUCCUUCAAAGUGUUAACACUCUCAGCACCCCAACAGACAAACACUUCCAAUGCAAAAGGUCGGAACAAGUGUCCUAGGUCUAUUGCUGCUCUCUCUCUCUCUCUCUCUCUCUCUCUCUCUCUAUUGUCAGCAUCUUCCAUCCUUGACAUCAAAUCCAUCUUUUCCCCAAAUUGAGUAAGUUCAUUCGCAACUCUAUCAAGGCCACUGCUUUCUUGUCUUUUUCGUUUUUUGGGUGCACUAGGAGGUGCACUAGGAGGGCUAUGGUGCCUACUAGUACUGGCAGGUGUUUCAGCGAAGCUUGGGCUUUGGUCACUGCAAUCUGGAGGUGUACCACUGCCAUUUCCAGAUAGACAUUCAGCUCCUGCUUGGGUAGAGUCAUACGGAGAGGCAAUGAAGGAAGCGUACACUAAUGCGCAUCCAGACAAUGUAGGUUAUUUACGCAUGCGCGCUAAGGGAAAUAGUUGGUGUGACUGUGCAGAUGCGCGUAUGGAGUGAAUUCGUCGCUGUUUCCUCGGUAAUUUACUUUUAACAGUUAUAUUUAUUCAACAACUAUAGUGAUACUCUGGCUAGUAAAGUUACUCUUUGAUCUAUCUAUGCUUGUGCUUGAUACUUUGUUUACAGCUCACCAAAGCUCGUGCUCAUGGAAAGUGGAUCUCCCGGAUAGAAGAAUCGAACCAGCACUAACACAACGGAGAAAGUAAAACGCACACGCACACACGCGCGCGUUUAUGCUCUAAUUAAGGAACGUUAAUUUGCAGUGAAAGCAAACAUCAUUGAGACUGGGAGAUGUCAGAUAGAGUUCCAGAUGACUUGAAGGGAAAUGGUCAAUAUUCUUCAUUGAAGUAUGACACACUAUUUAGGAGAAACAAUUAUACAAGUUUACAAGAGACGAUGAAGCAAAUGUUGAAAUAUUGUACAUAUUUCUGUCUGUUGGAACCUAGCUGGAAGGAUGAGAAGUUUGAACAUGAACUAACAGCAUUAGUUGUUCAUCCACUGAGAAAUGUUGGUCCUUGUUUUCUUGUUGAAGCAGCUAUGCAAGACGAUGUGAUCACAAACUGGCCGAGACCUGUAGUUAUCGCAAAGGCUAGAAUAUCUUGAGCUACUUUCUGUAAAUAGAUUACUUUGCAAGUGUGCAUCAAUAUUUAAUUGUAAGGAGAGACAUGUAAUUGUUGAAACUCUCAAUGAUAUUGAAGUAGAUCUGUAAUCAUAGAGACCACACUGCAUGUGAACUUAAUUGAUACAAAUAUAACUAGA